rnacentral:hammerhead_ribozyme from 1 species
AUCCAACUGACGAGUCUCAAAUAGAACGAAACACCCGUCCCGGAU